AUUGAACGCUGGCGGCAGGCCUAACACAUGCAAGUCGAGCGGAUGAAGGGAGCUUGCUCCUGGAUUCAGCGGCGGACGGGUGAGUAAUGCCUAGGAAUCUGCCUGGUAGUGGGGGAUAACGUCCGGAAACGGGCGCUAAUACCGCAUACGUCCUGAGGGAGAAAGUGGGGGUUCUUCGGCCCUCACCCUACCGGAUAACCCUAGGUCGGAUUAGCUAGUUGGUGGGGUAAAGGCCUACCAAGGCGACGAUCCGUAACUGGUCUGAGAGGAUGAUCAGUCACACUGGAACUGAGACACGGUCCAGACUCCUACGGGAGGCAGCAGUGGGGAAUAUUGGACAAUGGGCGAAAGCCUGAUCCAGCCAUGCCGCGUGUGUGAAGAAGGUCUUCGGAUUGUAAAGCACUUUAAGUUGGGAGGAAGGGCAGUAAGUUAAUACCUUGCUGUUUUGACGUUACCAACAGAAUAAGCACCGGCUAACUUCGUG
rnacentral:rRNA from 1 species